rnacentral:rRNA from 1 species
GACGGAGGAUGCAAGUGUUAUCCGGAAUCACUGGGCGUAAAGCGUCUGUAGGUGGUCAAAUAAGUCAACUGUUAAAUCUUGAGGCUCAACCUCAAAAUCACAGUCGAAACUAUUAGACUAGAGUAUAGUAGGGGUAAAGGGAAUUUCCAGUGGAGCGGUGAAAUGCGUAGAGAUUGGAAAGAACACCGAUGGCGAAGGCACUUUACUGGGCUAUUACUAACACUCAGAGACGAAAGCUAGGGUAGCAAAUGGG